rnacentral:rRNA from 1 species
CCUACGGGAGGCAGCAGUGAGGAAUAUUGGUCAAUGGGCGCGAGCCUGAACCAGCCAAGUCGCGUGAGGGAAGACGGUCCUAUGGAUUGUAAACCUCUUUUGUCGGGGAGCAAAAGACGCCACGCGUGGCGUUCCGAGAGUACCCGAAGAAAAAGCAUCGGCUAACUCCGUGCCAGCAGCCGCGGUAAUACGGAGGAUGCGAGCGUUAUCCGGAUUUAUUGGGGUAAAAGUGUGCGCAGGCGGAAGAUCAAGUCAGCGGUAAAAUUGAGAGGCUCAACCUCUUCGAGCCGUUGAAACUGGUUUUCUUGAGUGAGUGAGAAGUAUGCGGAAUGCGUGGUGUAGCGGUGAAAUGCAUAGAUAUCACGCAGAACUCCGAUUGCGAAGGCAGCAUACCGGCGCUCAACUGACGCUCAUGCACGAAAGUGUGGGUAGCGAACAGGAUUAGAUACCCGGGUAGUC